rnacentral:rRNA from 1 species
AAGGGUGUGUAGGCGGGCGCGCGCGUUCGGGGUGAAAGGUUCCGGCUCAACCGGAAAUAUGCCUCGGAUACGGCACGUCUUGAGUGCGGGAGAGGACGGUGGAAUUCCUGGUGUAGCGGUGAAAUGCGUAGAUAUCAGGAGGAACACCAGUGGCGAAGGCGGCCGUCUGGCCCGCAACUGACGCUGAAACACGAAAGCGUGGGGAUCAAACAGGAUUAGAUACCCUGGUAGUCCACGCCCUAAACGAUGCAUGCUUGGUGUCGGAGUCUUCGUACUUCGGUGCCGGAGGUAACCCGUUAAGCAUGCCACCUGGGAAGUACGGUCGCAAGGCUGAAACUCAAAGGAAUUGGCGGGGGCCCGCACAAGCGGUGGAUCAUGUGGUUUAAUUCGAUGCAACGCGAAGAACCUUACCUGGGCUUGAACUGGAGGUAAG